CGGAGGCAUAAGAAACUAACAAGGAUUCCCCUAGUAACGGCGAGUGAAGCGGGAUGAGCUCAAGCUUAAAAUCUCCGUGCAAUUUUUGCAUGGCGAAUUGUAGUCUAUAGAGGCGUGGUCAGUAUGAGCACUUGGAGAAAGUUCCUUGGAAUAGGACAGCAUGGAGGGUGAUACUCCCGUUCAUCUCUUAGCUGCUUGUGCGUACGACCCGUUUUCUUUGAGUCGCGUUGUUUGAGAAUGCAGCGCAAAGUAGGUGGUAAAUUCCAUCUAAAGCUAAAUAUUGGUGCGAGACCGAUAGCAAACAAGUACCGUGAGGGAAAGAUGAAAAGAACUUUGAAAAUAGAGUUAAAGAGUACCUGAAACUGCUGAAAGGGAACCAAAUCGUUUCCAGUGUCUAUAAUCCGUUGUAUAUUUCAUUGGCGAGUGUAUGCGUGCGUGUGCUGUUGCAGUGGCCUUUUGGUUGCGCUCGGCGCGUGUGUUGUGUGUGCUUGUUGGUGCCCUGUGCUGCGGUGGGACGUCAAGGUCAGUUCGUAUGCUGCGGGAAAUGGCUACCGAGGAGGUAGGGCUCACGCUUGCGUUUGUCUGUUAUAUCUUGGUAGACGAGUAGUCGCGGUUGGGACUGAGGUGCCUACAACGUGCUUUUGAGUGGGCUUGGGUCUCCGUGUGCACCGUGUGCGGAUAGCUUGCUAUGCGUGUGUGGUUGUGUGUGGAUUGAUGCGAGCCGUAACUUGUAGUCGUUCGGGACGUUGACGAAAUGGAGCG
rnacentral:rRNA from 1 species